rnacentral:rRNA from 1 species
GACGAACGCUGGCGGCACGCUUAACACAUGCAAGUCGAACGAGAGAAGAGAAGCUUGCUUUUCUGAUCUAGUGGCGGACGGGUGAGUAACACGUGAGCAAUCUGCCUUUCAGAGGGGGAUACCGAUUGGAAACGAUCGUUAAUACCGCAUAACAUAAUUGAACCGCAUGAUUUGAUUAUCAAAGAUUUAUCGCUGAAAGAUGAGCUCGCGUCUGAUUAGCUAGUUGGUAAGGUAACGGCUUACCAAGGCGACGAUCAGUAGCCGGACUGAGAGGUUGAUCGGCCACAUUGGGACUGAGACACGGCCCAGACUCCUACGGGAGGCAGCAGUGGGGAAUAUUGCACAAUGGAGGAAACUCUGAUGCAGCGAUGCCGCGUGAGGGAAGAAGGUUUUAGGAUUGUAAACCUCUGUUUUCAGGGACGAAAAAAGACGGUACCUGAGGAGGAGGCUCCGGCUAACUACGUGCCAGCAGCCGCGGUAAUACGUAGGGAGCGAGCGUUGUCCGGAAUUACUGGGUGUAAAGGGAGCGUAGGCGGGAUCGCAAGUCAGAUGUGAAAACUAUGGGCUUAACCCAUAAACUGCAUUUGAAACUGUGGUUCUUGAGUGAAGUAGAGGUAAGCGGAAUUCCUAGUGUAGCGGUGAAAUGCGUAGAUAUUAGGAGGAACAUCAGUGGCGAAGGCGGCUUACUGGGCUUUAACUGACGCUGAGGCUCGAAAGCGUGGGGAGCAAACAGGAUUAGAUACCCUGGUAGUCCACGCCGUAAACGAUGAUUACUAGGUGUGGGGGGACUGACCCCUUCCGUGCCGCAGCAAACGCAAUAAGUAAUCCACCUGGGGAGUACGACCGCAAGGUUGAAACUCAAAGGAAUUGACGGGGGCCCGCACAAGCAGUGGAGUAUGUGGAUUAAUUCGAAGCAACGCGAAGAACCUUACCAGGUCUUGACAUCGUAUGCAUAGCUCAGAGAUGAGUGAAAUCUCUUCGGAGACAUAUAGACAGGUGGUGCAUGGUUGUCGUCAGCUCGUGUCGUGAGAUGUUGGGUUAAGUCCCGCAACGAGCGCAACCCUUACUGUUAGUUGCUACGCAAGAGCACUCUAGCAGGACUGCCGUUGACAAAACGGAGGAAGGUGGGGAUGACGUCAAAUCAUCAUGCCCCUUAUGACCUGGGCCUCACACGUACUACAAUGGCUGUCAACAGAGGGAUGCAAAGCCGCGAGGUGGAGCGAACCCCUAAAAGCAGUCUUAGUUCGGAUUGUAGGCUGCAACCCGCCUACAUGAAGUCGGAAUUGCUAGUAAUCGCAGAUCAGCAUGCUGCGGUGAAUAAAAGGCCGGGCCUUG